UACGUAGGGGGCUAGCGUUAUCCGGAAUUACUGGGCGUAAAGGGUGCGUAGGUGGUUUCUUAAGUCAGAGGUGAAAGGCUACGGCUCAACCGUAGUAAGCCUUUGAAACUGGGAAACUUGAGUGCAGGAGAGGAGAGUGGAAUUCCUAGUGUAGUGGUGAAAUGCGUAGAUAUUAGGAGGAACACCAGUUGCGAAGGCGGCUCUCUGGACUGUAACUGACGCUGAGGCACGAAAGCGUGGGGAGCAAACAGGAUUAGAUACCCCCGUAGUCCCUGAGCGGG
rnacentral:rRNA from 1 species